rnacentral:rRNA from 1 species
UACGGGGGGGGCAAGCGUUGUUCGGAAUUACUGGGCGUAAAGGGCUCGUAGGCGGCCAACUAAGUCAAACGUGAAAUCCCUCGGCUUAACCGGGGAACUGCGCUUGAUACUGGAUGGCUUGAGAUUGGGAGAGGGAUGCGGAAUUCCAGGUGUAGCGGUGAAAUGCGUAGAUAUCAGGAAGAACACCCGUGGCGAAAGCGGCUCUCUGGAACGGUACUGACGCUGAGACGCGAAAGCGUGGGGAGCAAACAGG